CGUGCCAUAGCUUCGCCAUCACUGUUAUAGGGGAAUAAUUACUAUCCUUAGUCUCUUCAGCACACUCAGGUCCUAUGAUUAUAAUUCUAUAGGCAAUAUCACGGAAUUCACUAAAUAGAUUAUCUACUAUCAUCUACUUGUACAACUGACUGUGUUGCCCUUCUACAUGUCAUCAUAAUCUAAUACUGUUUAGAAGCCACUUAUAUUUUAGGGUUGUCUUUUCCUUUAUUAAACUGCACCUUGAUUUCAGGUCCAAGACAGCAUUCUAUUACCAGUCAAUUACUGGCUUGUUUUGUCUACAGGUUUCAAUCAGGUACAGAUACUUUUCAUUCAUUUACUGCCUCAUCAAGGCCACGAAUUUACACGUUGGGGUAUUGUGGUACGGGGGCUAUACGUUUACUCAAACUCGCUAUCUAUGGACAGUCGUCCUGUUUCAUACAAGCCUCACUCUUAACACCCUCAUCUCCCCCUCUGAUACUAUCAUGCUUUUCUUGGCACAACGCCUUCCUGAAAAUCUCCCUUCAGGGUUAUAUAAAUGCUAUCCUGAGUUUCUUCAGUACCCUCAGGGUCUAUGGUUACUAUGCUAUUAUCCACAUCUCCAACAACUACACUGGGUUGCUCAUACUUUUCUCUCUCUUCUAUCCCACGUCCACAAUUCCUCCUCUUCUUCUUAUCUUUUUUUUUUUUACCUCCCUGUAAUAUGAACCUUACGGUUCCUAUCAACCUCGACUCAGUUUGCUGAAUACGUUAUAUAUAGGCCCUUCACACACGCUCAUUCCCUCCACCCCACAGAAAUGGCCCCCCUCAUCACCUUUCACACCUCCUCACGGUCUGGGUACUCACCCGCUUAUUUGCAAUGAUUUUUACCAUAUGUAGGUCUGCCAACUAUGGGCUACUUCACAUAUGUGCUAUAUGCCUUGGGACUCAUGUCAACACAGUCUGCCCAAAAACAUUGUAUCAUGAGUUCAGAACUUUCAUCUUAACGUUGUCAGGAGUCAUGUCCGUCCAGCACUUGGUGGUAUAUUCAUUACACGGGUUCUAUACUAGGUGGGGGUCACUCACACUGUGCACCCUAAAUGUCCAUAUCUCCUCAGCUAAUCACGUAUUAUUUAAUGUGUGCCACCGGAUAUACUAAUAAACAUCGCCUCGCCAUUAUUCUGUCUGCUCCGCUUUCAGUCACAUCCUCUGCCUUAAAAAUCAUCACCCAAUUCUCUCGAUACUAUAUCACUAGGGAUUUGUAGCAAUUAUGGGCAGGCGUAACUACUUGGCCUAGCAGCUAGCAGGACGGAGAUCUCCAACUCCUCCACGUGACCAUUCAUCUCUACAAACUAUUGGUUGGGGACUGCCGGUUAAGUGGCGCUCAGUCUAUGGCAAUACCGGCCUUAGUCAAGCUUACCAAUAGAGGUAGCUGCAUUAACGGACAGACCCCUAGUCAAGCAGGCUAGUUGAAGGUUAGGCUGACUGCAUGGCAGUCUGCAACAUAUUCAGUACAAUCAUUCACCUUCUUAACCUUGGGGUAGAUGGUUCACAGACUGACGGAAACAGGGUUAGAAGGUCCUUUUGGCAUGGCAGUCCGGGUCAGGUAGAAGGGAGUCAAUAGAGCUCGGAAUUGAGUUCAUCCGCCUUGUUCCGACCAACUCCCAAUUUGUACAGUUAAACCACUAUCCUAGGUGGAUACAUACACAUAACUAGUAGGGAUUCCUGGUCAAGAGUCAAUUGGCCUAGUACCUCACCCAACUUACAACACCCGAUUCCUUGUCAUCACGGUUACUUUCCGCAUUUCAUAAUCUGCAUUUUAACGCCCUCAUUCGGUCACCCGGCUAUUGGGACUCGACAACAAGUGAUCACCUAUAGCGUUUUCAAUUGCACUAAGAAUACGUACGACAGAACAUGACAUUCUUACAAGACUCAGUGGAACACAACAUUCACAGGCACAUCGUACAAUUGUAGUCUAUUCUGCUUUUUGCCACCUUUUAUUCCAACCUUCAUACAACACGAUCGCACUAUACCAAACUGACAUACAAUAACACGUUCUGACAAGCCUUUCAAACCAUACCCCGUCUUAACAUAAGAUAUAAAAAGAUAAAUACGCAGCCCCAGGGAACCCCGCGCCCCCCCCCCACAGAUGGGGACUGACAUCUGGUACGUGCAAUACCAUGGGCACGGGCGAUGGGACCCCCCGCCUCUUCACACCUCCCUACCCAUCCCUCCUCCAACCCGCUUCCUCCUCCUCAUCCCCCCUCUCUCUUUCUCUUACUUCUUACUCAUUUUUCACUCAUCUUCUUUCUAAAUUUUCCAACAAUAUUUUCUAUACGAAUUGAAUAACAGACGCAGCCCUCCUCAACCCGAGAUUGCUAACAGCUGUGUCACUCACACUCACAUAUCAAAAUGGAAGCAAACACCUCUAUCAUGGGAUCACACAACACGAAUAAGGCACACUCAGGAACGGCAACUGACCAAUAACGACGGACCAAUAGCCUUUACCAUCCCAAAGAGAAAAGAGCCAGGGGUGAUAAGGAAAUAUUAAAGGAACACAAAAGGCAGACACAAAGUACAAACAUACGAAUAUUCCUCUACUCGAGCUGCAAACCGGUCACCCAUAUGAAUAUUCUAACGUGUUAACCACGAUCAAAUACCAUAUAGGUAUAAUACGUAACAUUGUUCAAGUGAUGUUCACACAUUCUACGAUGGGACCUGCGCG